UAGGUGGUGCACCCAUUGCAGC
rnacentral:siRNA from 1 species